rnacentral:rRNA from 1 species
GUUUCAGCCGCCGCGGUAAUACGUAGGGUGCGAGCGUUAAUCGGAAUUACUGGGCGUAAAGGGUGCGCAGGCGGUCCCGCAAGUCAGGCGUGAAAUCCCCGGGCUUAACCUGGGAAUGGCACUUGAAACUACGGGACUGGAGUGUGGCAGAGGGAGGUGGAAUUCCACGUGUAGCGGUGAAAUGCGUAGAUAUGUGGAGGAACACCAAUGGCGAAGGCAGCCUCCUGGGUCAACACUGACGCUCAUGCACGAAAGCGUGGGGAGCAAACAGGAUUAGAAACCCCGGUAGUCC